AGUGAACGCUGGCGGCGUGCCUAAUACAUGCAAGUCGAACGGAGAUUAAGUAGCUUGCUAUUUAAUCUUAGUGGCGCACGGGUGAGUAAUAUAUAGCUAAUCUGCCCUACCUAGAGGACAACAGUUGGAAACGACUGCUAAUACUCUAUACUCCUUCUAAGCAUAAGCUUAGUCGGGAAAGUUAAUAAAAUUUGCUUUUUGGUUUCAUCUUGAGAGAUAUGGACGUAUAACAACUAAAUUGAUAUACCGAUGUAGCAAACAUCGGUGUACUUUAGGUGGGUCAAGGGAGCGCUUGCGCUUCUUGUCGCAAAGAAAGGCUUUGCCUUUCUGCGAAGUCCGUAUUUGUCAAGAUGAAAUCUUGCAAAUGUAUUUUUUCGGUGUAGGAUGAGGCUAUAUCGUAUCAGCUAGUUGGUAGGGUAACGGCCUACCAAGGCUAUGACGCGUAACUGGUCUGAGAGGAUGAUCAGUCACCUGGAACUGAGACACGGUCCAGACUCCUACGGGAGGCAGCAGUAGGGAAUAUUGCUCAAUGGGGGAAACCCUGAAGCAGCAACGCCGCGUGGAGGAUGACACUUUUCGGAGCGUAAACUCCUUUUCUUGGGAAAGAAUUAUGACGGUACCCAAGGAAUAAGCACCGGCUAACUCCGUGCCAGCAGCCGCGGUAAUACGGAGGGUGCAAGCGUUACUCGGAAUCACUGGGCGUAAAGGACGCGUAGGCGGAUUAUCAAGUCUCUUGUGAAAUCUAACGGCUUAACCGUUAAACUGCUUGGGAAACUGAUAAUCUAGAGUAAGGGAGAGGCAGAUGGAAUUCUUGGUGUAGGGGUAAAAUCCGUAGAGAUCAAGAAGAAUACCCAUUGCGAAAGCGAUCUGCUGGAACUUAACUGACGCUAAUGCGUGAAAGCGUGGGGAGCAAACAGGAUUAGAUACCCUGGUAGUCCACGCCCUAAACGAUGUAUACUAGUUGUUGCUUCGCUAGUCGAGGCAGUAAUGCACCUAACGGAUUAAGUAUACCGCCUGGGGAGUACGGUCGCAAGAUUAAAACUCAAAGGAAUAGACGGGGACCCGCACAAGCGGUGGAGCAUGUGGUUUAAUUCGAAGAUACGCGAAGAACCUUACCCGGACUUGAUAUCUAACAAAUCAUCCAGAGAUGGAAGAGUGUCUGCUUGCAGAAAUGUUAAGACAGGUGCUGCACGGCUGUCGUCAGCUCGUGUCGUGAGAUGUUGGGUUAAGUCCCGCAACGA
rnacentral:rRNA from 1 species